rnacentral:rRNA from 1 species
UACGGAGGGUGCAAGCGUUAUCCGGAUUCACUGGGCUUAAAGGGUGCGUAGGCGGAGUGGUAAGUCAGUGGUGAAAUCUCCAAGCUUAACUUGGAAACUGCCGUUGAUACUAUUAGUCUUGAAUACCAUGGAGGUGAGCGGAAUAUGUCAUGUAGCGGUGAAAUGCUUAGAUAUGACAUAGAGCACCAAUUGCGAAGGCAGCUCGCUGCGCGGUUAUUGACACUGAGGCACGAAAGCGUGGGGAUCAAACAGG